rnacentral:rRNA from 1 species
UUUCUCCGCCGGCGACCGGCGCACGGGUGAGUAACACGUAUGCAACCUGCCCCUGUCAGGGGGACAACCCGCCGAAAGGCGGGCUAAACCCGCGUACAUGCCACCGGGGCAUCCCGGAGGCAGGAAAAGGCUUCGGCCGGACAGGGAUGGGCAUGCGGCGCAUUAGGCAGUAGGCGGGGUAACGGCCCACCUAACCGACGAUGCGUAGGGGUUCUGAGAGGAAGGUCCCCCACACUGGUACUGAGACACGGACCAGACUCCUACGGAAGGCAGCAG